rnacentral:sRNA from 12 species
GAAGUGUGAACCAAGCGGCGGCGGAAGCCGUGUGAGACUUGGAGCGGAUGGCCGCAAGGCUGUCCCACA